GUAGGGAAUAUUGGACAAUGGGGGCAACCCUGAUCCAGCGACGCCGCGUGAGUGACGAAGGCCUUCGGGUCGUAAAGCUCUGUUGCAAGGGAAAAACAAAAUGAUGGUACCUUGCUAGAAAGGAUCGGCUAACUUCGUGCCAGCAGCCGCGGUACGACGAGGGAUCCUAGCGUUGUUCGGAAUUAUUGGGCGUAAAGCGGGUGUAGGUGGCUUUGUAAGUCAGGUGUGAAAGCCUGGGGCUUAACCCCAGAAGUGCAUUUGAUACUGCGAAGCUUGAGUGCUGGAGAGGCUACUAGAAUUCUUGGUGUAGGGGUGAAAUACGUAGAUAUCAAGAGGAAUACCGGAGGCGAAGGCGGGUAGCUGGCCAGACACUGACACUCAGACCCGAAAGCGUGGGGAUCAAACAGGAUUAGAAACCCUUGUAGUCC
rnacentral:rRNA from 1 species